rnacentral:lncRNA from 1 species
GAAAAGUCACUUAACUUUUAUAAAGUGGUAACUACCGUGGGGCUUUGUGUAAUUAAACCUAAAUGCUGUUUACCCCCACAGAGCUCCGAUGAGGUCUGCCUCAUCCAUCACCUUUCUCCUGGUAUUGGGCCUGCCUCGUGGUUUCAAAUAUGGCCGCCAUGCUGUAAGAACAGGAAAGAAAGCCCUGUUUCUAAAGAGAAACAGAAUUCAGUACAAGCAAUUUUGUCCCAAAAGGGUUUGGGGAGCUGAUUCAGUGGAUAACGGGCUUGCUGUGCAAACAUGAAGAUCUGAACUUGGAUCCUGAGCAUCUGCAUAGAAACUGGUUGUGGUGACUGAUGCCUGUGACCCCAGCACUAGGAAGCAGGGGCAGGAAGAUUCCUGGGGAUUGCCUGACCAAGCCAGUCUCACCAACUUUGCAAGGCCUGGUUCAGUGAGAAUCUCUGUCUCAUAAUAUAAUAAACAUGCUAGUCAUGGUAGCAUAUGCAUUUAAUCCCAGCCUGUGGGAAGCAGAGGCAGGUGGAUCUCUAUGAGUUCAAGGGGAGCCUGAUCUAUAUAACAAGUUCCAGGCUAGUCAGGGCUAUAUAGUGAGAUCCUGUCUUUAAAAAUUGGAUAGAAAUGGUUGCUGUGCAAGUGUGAAGACCUGAGUGAGGACCCCAGAGAGACAGAAAGGUC